rnacentral:lncRNA from 1 species
UUUCACAAGGUGGAAGAGAUAUGUAAAUAGCUGUCGCUGGUGAUGUGUGCAUAAUUGAAAGGCAUAAAAUUAUUUUAAAAAGUUAACAGUGAUUAAGUUCUUAGAAAACACUGCAGAGGGAGAAAUAGUUGCAAAUGGCAGCUCCAAGUAUCUCAAAUUUUAACAUGCAAAUAGAACUCCAGGGGAUCUUAUGGAAGUAGACUCUGAUUUAGUAGGUUUGGAAUAGGACCUGAAUAAUUGCGUUUUUUUUUUUUUUGGUCUUUUUAGGGCCACUCCUAGCCUGGGAACCUCCAUAUGCUGUGGGUGUGGCCCCAGAAAAGACAAAAAGAAAACAAACAAACAAACAAACAAACCCUGCCUCCAAGAAAACCUCCCGAAAGGAAUGUGGACAUUAUGCUUUAAUGUUUGAAAGACAGAUCUGGAGACUACCCUUAGCGGGUUCCUCCUCCCUCCUCUGAAUUUUUCGAUGUUGCUUUUUGCCAUGGCAACAGUAGACUUUUGCCUUUUCCAAUGGAAAAAGCUAGAAGCAGUCCAAAUAAACAAAUACCAGCACCACAAGGAAACAAACCACACCAACCCCAAAUCUCACACUUAAUCACUCAGAAAAUAUCCUUCAUUAAGUUGACAAUGUUCAUGGAGCAUGGAAGUCGCACCCACAGUCUUCUUGCCUUGGUUUGGCUGUCGGACACUAUGAGCGUGGCUUGUUCCUUCUCCUUUUUGUCACCCAUGGCUUUGUAUCCCAGGGUAGAAGGUCAGAAAGAGGCUCAAGGGAAGGUUCUCCUUUGUCCUUCUGAGCCUGAGGGCCCGGUGAGCUUUUCAGAGUGGCGAGAAGGGCCUGGAAGACUACCUCACUGAGGGAUGUUUCCAUGCCUCCCACAAGUUCCUCUUCCUGUGAGUCCAUUUUCAGGAAAGGGCCUGCACAGAAUGUCUGUGUCUGAAGAGAGUUUGUCUAGGAGUCUUGAUGAGGCUUGGAGGGCUGAUGCUGGUGCUGCAGGUCCAGGAGAGGGCAUGUCUCUUAAUUUGCAUGUGCAGGCUGCAGAAUCACCCCUUGCCUGGGCUGUCCCCUGGCAAGGACAGCUUGGGCCCCUGGCCCCACCACUGUGGGGCCUGGGAGGUGCAUGGCUGAGCCAGAUGCUGCAGAGAGUUGUCAAGGCCAGGCUGAAGGGCAUCCUGGAGACUAUGUGCUGCCAUGGUAGUGUGCAGGUUGUUCUGGCAUGCUCCUCCCUGUGAUGGGGGCCAGAGAGCUGUGUGAAUAGGGUAGAGACCACCUCUGGGAAUGGGUCCCAUGGAAGAGUGACUCAGGACAGUUCCCAGAGGUAGGGUUUUCUCUUCCCUGCAGAGCCAGCCUGGGCUGGACCAGCAUAAACAUCAAUGGCUGGCCCCACAGCCCCCAGAGGGAACCCAGGCACAAAGAAGGCAAGGGAUAAAGGAGGAGCACCUUUGGCAAAGAAUGCAUGCCCUCAGGUGGAUCCGAGGGAGGAAAAGGAUGAGAGCCUUGUGGGGAGUGGAAGGAGGCUUUGGUUUAAGGGAGCCGUCAGGGCUGGUCUGGUAUCAGGGUCUCCUGUCAGGACAUCCACAAGCCUACCUGUGCUCUGCUCUGGGUGCCAAGCUCUUUGGUUCUGAAACCAUAUAUAGGAGGAGUUCUUAUUGUGGUGCAGUGGGAAUGAAUCUGACUAGCAUCCAUGAGGACACAGGUUAGAUCCCUGGCCUUACUCAGUGGGUCGGGGAUCCAGCAUUGCCGUGAGCUGUGG